rnacentral:rRNA from 1 species
UAGUCUGAUGUGAAGCCCCGGCUCACCCGGGGAGGGUCAUUGGAAACUGGGAGACUUGACUGAAGAGGAGAGUGGAAUUCCAUGUGUAGCGGUGAAAUGCGUAGAUAUAUGGAGGAACACCAGUUGGCGAAGGCGGCUCUCUGGUCUGUAACUGACGCUGAGGCUCGAAAGCGUGGGGAGCAAACAGGAUUAAUACCCUGGUAGUCCCGCCGUAAACGAUGAGUGCUAAGUGUUGGAGGGUUUCCGCCCUUCAGUGCUGCAGCUAACGCAUUAAGCACUCCGCCUGGGGAGUACGACCGCAAGGUUGAAACUCAAAGGAAUUGACGGGGGCCCGCACAAGCGGUGGAGCAUGUGGUUUAUUCGAAGCAACCGAAAACCUUACCAGGUCUUGACAUCCUUUGACCACUCUAAAUAAGCUUCCCCUUCGGGGGCAAAGUGACAGGUGGGAUGGUUGUCUCACUCGGUCGAAUGUUGGGUUAAUCCCCAACAGCAACCCUUAUUGUUAGUUGCCAUCAUUUAUUGGGCCUCUACAAACUGCCGGGGACAAACCGAGGAAGGUGGGAUACUUCAAAUCUCAUGCCCCUUUCACUGGGC